CAGGCCACGCCGGCUCCUGCUGAGUCCCACAGUCCAGCCAUGCAGCUGGGAGCCACAUUGUACUGGAGCAGCUGGUGGCUGGCAGGAAAGUAGGCAAAUGGCAGCUACGGGGUGGGGGGGCAAGAGGCAGUGAGUGGGUGCAAGCAAUGGGCCUGGGCCAGUGGCCCAGGACCAGUGCUGGUGGUGGCAGGAGCGUGGGGCCUGGCACUAGCUGGAUGGGGGCAGGGGUCCUGCACUCCUGCCACCACACUUUGGGCCCUGUUGGUGCUGGCCCCAGGAUACCAGCACAGGCCCCAUGCUCCCACCCAGCUGUCCCUGAGCUCCUGUAUGCCUGCUUGCUGCCACUACUCUCUGCCUGUAGCUGCCAUUUCCCUGCUUUCCUGCCAGCUGCUCCAGCUACAGGGGCCAUGAGUGGGAGGUGUGUGUGUGUGUGUGUGUGUGUGUGUGUUUGUAGGGCGAGCCCCACAUGUACACUCCACAAUACACAUGCACCCACACACCCCCUCGCACUGCUAUACAUACAGACCCCCAUACUCACACCCCCUCACAUACCCCAGCUGCCCUCCCCCCCACACACAGCCCCCCACAAACCCCAUACCCACCCACACCCCACAUAUCUACAGACACCCACAACCCAUAUACCCACAGUCCCCCCACAAACCUACACCCCCAUGCCCUCAUAUACAAAAGUAAGAUUUCAUUUUAAUCUAUUAUACUAUCACUUCUAUGCACACUACACAAACACGUGUAAAUCAGAUCAAAAAUAUUUUUUGAAAUCAAAUUAAUGAAUGUUGUAGUACAUACUUGACUUUUAGAAUAUAAUUUGGUACUUUUCUGGUUCCGAGAUGGCAAAACCCCUUGCUGAAAGGCGUACUUCUGGGGCAAGGGAAGGGACUUCUGGGGGCAAAGGUCAGGAAUUAGGGGGCAGGACUUCCAGUCACAAAAUGGUAACCAGGGAGCAGGGUGCCUGUCAAGGGGCGGGGCUACCCAUGACAGCUUGCUACAACUCAGUAAGUGGCCUCCACCCAAAAUAAUUGCCUGCCCCUGGGAUAACCUCUUAUCACUCAGGAAGCUAAAAACAUGCUUUGAAGAUGCUGGACUAAGGGUAUAAGAAAGAAGUGAAAUGGCUAGCAGGGCGCACUUCAAGAUCUCUCUGGCAAGAACUGCUGCUGCACCCCAGCCAUCUCGAGAAACUAGAAGAAACAGACUAUCUCCCUUGUUGCCUUUUUGUUGGAUGCUGACAACUAUGAGACUGUAUCUGAAUCCUUGCCAGCUCUGGAUCAAAGGAACUAUUCUUGGAUGGAUAUAAUAACUAUAGAUAAAGAUCAACUCCCAAACUAUGAAGACAAGCUAGAUAAAAAUAUUUUAUGAAGAACAUUUACACCUGGAUGAGGAAAUUCUCUACAUCUUUGAAGAAAGUGGUUACUUUGAUGUUUGAGACAAAGAUGACGAGUGGAUCCAGAUUUUCAUGCAAAAGGGAGACAUAAUUAUUUUUCCUGCUGGCAUAUAUCACUGAUUUACACUGGAUGAAAAUGUUUAUAUAUGACCUCAUAUCUCACAUUCCCAUAAAACUGUUUUAACAAAGAAGUGUACAAAUUUAUAUUCUAGAUUAAUGAUUAAAUACAUUAGGAUUUACGGUUCAUUUUCAAACUAUAUUACACCAGAAAUGU